rnacentral:rRNA from 1 species
UACGUAGGGGGCAAGCGUUAUUCGGAAUCACUGGGCGUAAAGGGCGCGCAGGCGGUUUUGUAAGUCUAAAGUGAAAUCCUUGGGCUUAACCCAAGGGCUGGUUUAGAUACUGCAAAACUCGAGUUCGGGAAAAGCAAGCGGAAUUCCUGGUGAAGGGGUGAAAUCCGUAGAUAUCAGGAAGAACACCAGUGGCGAAAGCGGCUUGCUAGAACGCGACUGACGCUUAGGCGCGAAAGCGUGGGGAGCAAACAGG